GACGAACGCUGGCGGCGUGCUUAAAACAUGCAAGUCGAACGGACUUCUCAUGAAGCUUGCGAUUGAGAAGUUAGUGGCGGACGGGUGAGUAACGCGUGGGCAACCUGCCCCUGAGCCCGGGAUAACAGUUCGAAAGGACUGCUAAGACCGGAUAUACUUGCGGUGAAGCAUUUCACUGCAAGGAAAGGGAACGCUCAGGGGAUGGGCCCGCGUCCCAUUAGCUAGUUGGUGAGGUAACGGCCCACCAAGGCGACGAUGGGUAGCCGGCCUGAGAGGGUGAACGGCCACACUGGGACUGGAGACACGGCCCAGACUCCUACGGGAGGCAGCAGUUGGGAAUCUUCGGCAAUGGGCGCAAGCCUGACCGAGCAACGCCGCGUGAGUGAUGAAGGUUUUCGGAUUGUAAAGCUCUGUCUUCCGGGACGAUAAUGACGGUACCGGAGGAGGAAGCCACGGCUAACUACGUGCCGGCAGCCGCGGUAAUCAUACUCGUA
rnacentral:rRNA from 1 species